rnacentral:rRNA from 1 species
CCUACGGGUGGCAGCAGUGGGGAAUUUUGGACAAUGGGCGCAAGCCUGAUCCAGCUAUUCCGCGUGUGGGAUGACGGCCUUCGGGUUGUAAACCACUUUUGUAGAGAACGUAAAGUCUGUUGAUAAUACCGAUAGAUGAUGACGGUACUCUAAGAAUAAGCACCGGCUAACGACGUGCCAGCAGCCGCGGUAAUACGUAAGGUGCGAUCGUUAAUCGGAAUUACGGGGAGUAAAGGGUGUGCAGGCGGUUUUGCAAGAUGGAUGUGAAAGCCCCGGGCUUAAACUGGGAAAGCCAUACAUGACUGGAAGACGAGAGUGCGUCAGGGGGGGGUGGAAUUCCAAGUGUAGCAGUGAAAUGCGUAGAUAUUUGGAAGAACACCGAUGGCGAAGGCAGCCCCCUGGGACGCAACUGACGCUCAUACACGAAAGCGUGGGGAGCAAACAGGAUUAGAUACCCCGGUAGUC